rnacentral:lncRNA from 1 species
UUAAAUUGCUGCUCAAGUUGCCGGGUGAUCAAUAUUUGACGUAUACCCUCAAGUCUUUGCCGAAGGAUAGCCGAUUCGGUCCUGACCCGCUCGUUCUCACACUGGACCACUUGGCACCGGUAAGUAAUUAACCGUAACCGGUUCAUUAUUUCCCGGUUCCCUACUUUAAGCCUGUUCGCUUGGUUCCGCAGGUUCUCCAGAUGCUUUUGCUUUCGCAUGCGGGACCGCCUCGCUGAUUCCCGGUUCGAUACCAUACGUCGACGCUUCCUCUCAUCUAUGUCACGGUUCGAUGUCGUGCGCUGCCGCUUCCUCUCG